rnacentral:rRNA from 1 species
GACGAACGCUGGCGGCGUGCUUAACACAUGCAAGUCGAACGGAAAGGCCCUGCUUUUGUGGGGUGCUCGAGUGGCGAACGGGUGAGUAACACGUGAGUAACCUGCCCUUGACUUUGGGAUAACUUCAGGAAACUGGGGCUAAUACCGGAUAGGAGCUCCUGCUGCAUGGUGGGGGUUGGAAAGUUUCGGCGGUUGGGGAUGGGCUCGCGGCUUAUCAGCUUGUUGGUGGGGUAGUGGCUUACCAAGGCUUUGACGGGUAGCCGGCCUGAGAGGGUGACCGGCCACAUUGGGACUGAGAUACGGCCCAGACUCCUACGGGAGGCAGCAGUGGGGAAUAUUGCACAAUGGGCGGAAGCCUGAUGCAGCAACGCCGCGUGCGGGAUGACGGCCUUCGGGUUGUAAACCGCUUUCGCCUGUGACGAAGCGUGAGUGACGGUAAUGGGUAAAGAAGCACCGGCUAACUACGUGCCAGCGGCCGCGGUGAUACGUAGGGUGCGAGCGUUGUCCGGAUUUAUUGGGCGUAAAGGGCUCGUAGGUGGUUGAUCGCGUCGGAAGUGUAAUCUUGGGGCUUAACCCUGAGCGUGCUUUCGAUACGGGUUGACUUGAGGAAGGUAGGGGAGAAUGGAAUUCCUGGUGGAGCGGUGGAAUGCGCAGAUAUCAGGAGGAACACCAGUGGCGAAGGCGGUUCUCUGGGCCUUUCCUGACGCUGAGGAGCGAAAGCGUGGGGAGCGAACAGGCUUAGAUUCCCUGGUAGUCCACGCUGUAAACGGUGGGUACUAGGUGUGGGGUCCAUUCCACGGGUUCCGUGCCGUAGCUAACGCUUUAAGUACCCCGCCUGGGGAGUACGGCCGCAAGGCUAAAACUCAAAGGAAUUGACGGGGCCCCGCACAAGCGGCGGAGCAUGCGGAUUAAUUCGAUGCAACGCGUAGAACCUUACCUGGGUUUGACAUGGAUCGGGAGUGCUCAGAGAUGGGUGUGCCUCUUUUGGGGUCGGUUCACAGGUGGUGCAUGGCUGUCGUCAGCUCGUGUCGUGAGAUGUUGGGUUAAGUCCCGCAACGAGCGCAACCCUUGUUCACUGUUGCCAGCACGUUAUGGUGGGGACUCAGUGGAGACCGCCGGGGUCAACUCGGAGGAAGGUGGGGAUGACGUCAAGUCAUCAUGCCCCUUAUGUCCAGGGCUCCACGCAUGCUACAAUGGCUGGUACAGAGAGUGGCGAGCCUGUGAGGGUGAGCGAAUCUCGGAAAGUCGGUCUCAGUUCGGAUUGGGGUCUGCAACUCGACCUCAUGAAGUCGGAGUCGCUAGUAAUCGCAGAUCAGCAACGCUGCGGUGAAUACGUUCCCGGG